rnacentral:lncRNA from 1 species
ACACAAUCUUAAAAUCUUCCCAGCUUAGAAGAUUCUUUCCAAGUAUUCUUUUGUGUUUUUUUAACCUAUAAAAGAUAAUGGAAUAUAUUUUAUAGACUGGAUUUUAUCUUAUCCCUUUCCCUCUCCCGGCUGCACUCAGUUUAAUAGUUGUCAGGGCUUUUCUUCCCCCCGUGUUUUUCCUAAGUGUUGGAUUUAAUUAUAUGGGACCGAAAUAUAUACCUCAGUAAAUUAGCUUGCUAAAUAUUCUGUCAUUUUGUGAUUCUGCCUUUGAGAAGCAGCUUAAUUACAGAAAUCUAUCU